AGUGAACGCUGGCGGCAGGUCUAACACAUGCAAGUCGAGCGGCAGCGCGGGGCAACCUGGCGGCGAGCGGCGGACGGGUGAGGAAUGCAUCGGAAUCUACCCUGUCGUGGGGGAUAACGUAGGGAAACUUACGCUAAUACCGCAUACGACCGAGAGGUGAAAGUGGGGGACCGCAAGGCCUCACGCGAUUGGAUGAGCCGAUGCCGGAUUAGCUAGUUGGUGGGGUAAAGGCCCACCAAGGCGACGAUCCGUAGCUGGUCUGAGAGGAUGAUCAGCCACACUGGGACUGAGACACGGCCCAGACUCCUACGGGAGGCAGCAGUGGGGAAUAUUGGACAAUGGGCGCAAGCCUGAUCCAGCCAUGCCGCGUGUGUGAAGAAGGCCUUCGGGUUGUAAAGCACUUUUGUUCGGGAAGAAAAUCGUGCGGAUUAAUACUUCGUACGGAUGACGGUACCGAAAGAAUAAGCACCGGCUAACUUCGUGCCAGCAGCCGCGGUAAUACGAAGGGUGCAAGCGUUACUCGGAAUCACUGGGCGUAAAGCGUGCGUAGGCGGUUGGUUAAGUCUGCUGUGAAAGCCCUGGGCUCAACCUGGGAACUGCAGUGGAUACUGGCUAGCUAGAGUGUGAUAGAGGAUGGUGGAAUUCCCGGUGUAGCGGUGAAAUGCGUUGAGAUCGGGAGGAACAACCAGUGGCGAAGGCGGCCAUCUGGAUCAACACUGACGCUGAGGCACGAAAAGCGUGGGGGAGCAAAACAGGAUUAGAAUACCC
rnacentral:rRNA from 1 species